AACCUGCCCUUGGGUUCGGGAUAACCCCGGGAAACUGGGGAUAAUACCGGGAUAACGCACAUAUGCUGGAAUGCUUUAUGCGUCAAACGGAUUCGUCUGCCCAAGGAUGGGUCUGCGGCCUAUCAGGUAGUAGUGGGUGUAAUGUACCUACUAGCCGACAACGGGUACGGGUUGUGAGAGCAAGAGCCCGGAGAUGGAUUCUGAGACAUGAAUCCAGGCCCUACGGGGCGCAGCAGGCGCGAAAACUUUACAAUGCGGGAAACCGUGAUAAGGGGACACCGAGUGCCAGCAACAUUUGUUGGCUGUCCAGGUGUGUAAAAUACACCUGUUAGCAAGGGCCGGGCAAGACCGGUGCCAGCCGCCGCGGUAACACCGGCGGCCCGAGUGGUGAUCGUGAUUAUUGGGUCUAAAGGGUCCGUAGCCGGUUUGGUCAGUCCUCCGGGAAAUCUGACAGCUUAACUGUUAGGCUUUCGGGGGAUACUGCCAGACUUGGAACCGGGAGAGGUAAGAGGUACUACAGGGGUAGGAGUGAAAUCUUGUAAUCCCUGUGGGACCACCUGUGGCGAAGGCGUCUUACCAGAACGGGUUCGACGGUGAGGGACGAAAGCUGGGGGCACGAACCGGAUUAGAUACCCGGGUAGUCCCAGCCGUAAACGAUGCUCGCUAGGUGUCAGGCAUGGCGCGACCGUGUCUGGUGCCGCAGGGAAGCCGUGAAGCGAGCCACCUGGGAAGUACGGCCGCAAGGCUGAAACUU
rnacentral:rRNA from 1 species